ACCCGCUCAUCUUUCCAACGAAACAGAUUCAACUUCCUCUUCGUCUUCUCCAACCUUCAUCAAAUCCCACUGUAUUAUUUUUGAAACCGAGACGGAUAGGGUGUGGCAGUGAGCGAUGGUAAGAGGCGUUCAUCCUCUGCGAUGAGGUACCCCGGUGGCAGUCCCUGCCCUGCCUUCGGCUUCCCAAAUCGUAGAUUCGUAGGUGCCCCGCCAUGGAAGAACAGCGCCUUGCGGAGGAUGCAGCCGCGCCGGGAUCGGCCCGGGCCACCCUCGGCAAGUACCUCACGGUCUCCCCACGCUUAUGGUCAGACUCUCCUCGAAGCUCCCUCAUGUCCUUGCUCUGGUGCGGACCGUCCUAGCGCCGGCCGCCUCAGAUGCAUCAGACACAGCCAUCCCCGGCGCAGCCCAGUUCUAGCGUGAUCGAGGAGGAGCUCCCUCAUGUCGUUGCUGUGCUCUGAGCCCUCGUUGUGGCGGCGGCCUCGGACGCGCCUGAUGCGGCAAUCACCACCGCGCCUGAUGCUCUAAGCUCAUAGUAGCACUAAUCCAGAUUAUCUCCUCAUGGCGUGGCCAUGAAUCCCAUUAAUUAAAUAAUUGACGGCAUGGCUUAUUCUUUUUCUUUCAUGUAACUGUGCAGGUUUAUACUGAACUCGCCAGAACUCCCAUUGUCUAAGUCUGCGUAGUCCCAUCAACAAGUUGAUAGCUUUGGUAAAACUCCAAGUAUGCGUAUUGAUUAUUCAGAGGUUCGUUGCAGUACAAUUUCCUUUUUGGACAAAAUCGUUUGGUUAGUUUCAGAAUACUAGCAGUUUGUGAGUAAAUUUGUUGUGUUUUGUCAA